UACGUAGGGGGCAAGCGUUGUCCGGAUUCAUUGGGCGUAAAGAGCUCGUAGGCGGUUCGGCAAGUCGGGUGUGAAAACUCCAGGCUCAACCUGGAGACGCCACCCGAUACUGCUGUGACUUGAGUCCGGUAGGGGACCACGGAAUUCCUGGUGUAGCGGUGAAAUGCGCAGAUAUCAGGAGGAACACCGAUGGCGAAGGCAGGUCUCUGGGCCACUACUGACGCUGAGAAGCGAAAGCAUGGGGAGCGAACAGG
rnacentral:rRNA from 1 species